CAUAUACUGUCUGGAUCCCACCACUUCUGGCUUCUACUUCUUUCUAACAUCUCAAUCACUUUACAAGAAACCCUCACUUUCUUCUAGUUCUCCCUGGCAAGCUGCUCUCCAUUUUUCUUUCUUUCUUUUUUUUUUUAAAUAUCACAGUUGCUACAUGGAUCACUUAUCAGAUAUUUCCCCAAACCUAUUAAGAUGCUAUACUUUAUUUCCAGUUUUCCUGAGUCAUAGGAGACUUUUAUGAGAAGUGGAAUCCUGGGAACUUCAACCAGGAGAACAGUGGCUCAGUGGAUGGAGCACUUUGCCUGAAUUCAGGAAGAUCAGAGGUCAAAACUGGCCUCAAACACUUAAUAGCGGUGUGACCUUGGCAACAUAAUCUGGAAAAAUAAAAUGAAAGUGGAACAACCUCCAGGAAUUGAUGCAGAGUGAGAGGAGCAGAACCAGGAGAACAAUGUACACAGAAACUGAUACACUGUGGCACAAUUGAAUGUAACUGACUUUUCUACCAGCAGCAAUGCAAUGAUCUAGGAUAAUUCUGAGGGACUUAGAGAAAGAACACUAUCCACAUCCAGAGAAAGAACUGUGGGAGCAGAAACGCAGAAGAAAAACAUGUGCUUGAUCACAUGGUAUGAUUAGGGUUUUGCUGUUAAAAAAUCACUCUAUUGCAAAUAUGAAUAACAUGGAAAUAGGUUUUGAACAAUAAUACAUGUAUAACCUAGUGGAAUUGCUUGUCAUCUUUGGGAGGGGGGAGGAAAAAGUGGGAGGAGGGGAAUCAUGAAUCAUGUAAA